GACAGAGGGUGCAACCGUUGUUCGGAAUUACUGGGCGUAAAGCGCGUGUAGGCGGCAGGGCAUGUCGGAUGUGAAAUCCCGUGGCUCAACCACGGAAGUGCACCCGAAACUGCCCAGCUUGAGUCUCGGAGAGGAAGGCGGAAUGCUUGGUGUAGAGGUGAAAUUCGUAGAUAUCAAGCGGAACACCGGUGGCGAAGGCGGCCUUCUGGACGAUGACUGACGCUGAGACGCGAAAGCGUGGGGAGCAAACAGG
rnacentral:rRNA from 1 species